ensembl:misc_RNA 7SK 7SK RNA
GCAUGUGAGGGUGAUCUGGCUGCAACAUCUGUCAACCCAUUGAUCGCCAGGGUUGAUUCGGCUGAUCUGGUUGGCUAAGCGGGUGUCCCUUUCCUCCCUCACCACUCCAUGUGCAUCCCUCCUGAAGUUGCACACUCAGUCAAAGAGGAUGGCCUUCCCCAAAUAGACUGGUCUUUGGUUGAGGGUAUAAGAGUAGCUGUGCUCCCCUGCUAGAACCUCCAAACAAGCUCUUAAAGAUCCAAGUUUGAGCCCCUGCUCCCCAACUGCAGGGAGAUACUUCACAAGCUGUACAGGUCUCU